AUGAUUUCCAAAGAAAUCAACCAUUUGCAAGCUUGAACAAUUUCCAAUCUCCAUAGGAAUCUCUCCAGAUAGCUGAUUGUCAUAUAGAUAUAAUACUUGAAGAUUCCCAAGCAUGCCAAUCUCUUUAGGAAGGUUACCUUGAAAAUUGUUGUGAUACAGUGCAAGCUCCUUGAGGUUACUGAGGUUUGCUAUGAAGGGAGAUAUGGAACCCCCCAAACUGUUGUUGUGGAGAUAGAGAUAAUUCAGUUCAGCCAGAUCAAAAAUUUCCGUAGGUAUUGAUCCAUUAAGUGUGUUGUUCGACAAGUCAAGCUGUUGCAGUGAGUGGCACUG
rnacentral:misc_RNA from 1 species